UACGUAGGGCGCAAGCGUUGUCCGGAAUUAUUGGGCGUAAAGAGCUCGUAGGCGGUUUGUCGCGUCUGCUGUGAAAACCUAAGGCUCAACCUUGGGCUUGCAGUGGGUACGGGCAGACUAGAGUGCGGUAGGGGUGACUGGAAUUCCUGGUGUAGCGGUGGAAUGCGCAGAUAUCAGGAGGAACACCGAUGGCGAAGGCAGGUCACUGGGCCGCAAACUGACGCUGGAGGGAGC
rnacentral:rRNA from 1 species